UAAGGAAUAUUGGUCAAUGCCCGGAAGGGUGAACCAGCCAUCCCGCGUGAAGGAUGAAGGGGCUCUGCCUUGUAAACUUCUUUUGAAUGGGACGAAAAAGCCUCACUUGUGAGGAACUGACGGUACCAUUAGAAUAGGCACCGGCUAACUCCGUGCCAGCAGCCGCGGUAAUACGGAGGGUGCGAGCGUUAUCCGGAAUCACUGGGUUUAAAGGGUGCGUAGGCGGCUGUAUAAGUCAGUGGUGAAAGGCUGUGGCUUAACCAUGGGAUUGCCAUUGAUACUGUACGGCUUGAAUUAGGAUGAGGUUGGCGGAAUGUGACAUGUAGCGGUGAAAUGCUUAGAUAUGUCAUGGAACAUCGAUUGCGAAGGCAGCUGACUGGACCUUAAUUGACGCUGAGGCACGAAAGCGUGGGGAGCGAACAGGAUUAGAUACCCCGGUAGUCCCUGAGCGGGCUGGCAAGGCGCAU
rnacentral:rRNA from 1 species